AGCGAACGCUGGCGGCAGGCCUAACACAUGCAAGUCGAACGAACCUUUCGGGGUUAGUGGCGGACGGGUGAGUAACACGUGGGAACGUGCCUUUAGGUUCGGAAUAACUCAGGGAAACUUGUGCUAAUACCGAAUGUGCCCUUCGGGGGAAAGAUUAAUCGCCUUUAGAGCGGCCCGCGUCUGAUUAGCUAGUUGGUUGAGGUAAUGGCUCACGAAGGCGACGAUCAGUAGCUGGUCUGAGAGGAUGAUCAGCCACAUUGGGACUGAGACACGGCCCAAACUCCUACGGGAGGCAGCAGUGGGGAAUCUUGCGCAAUGGGCGAAAGCCUGACGCAGCCAUGCCGCGUGAAUGAUGAAGGUCUUAGGAUUGUAAAAUUCUUUCACCGGGGACGAUAAUGACGGUACCCGGAGAAGAAGCCUCGGCUAACUUCGUG
rnacentral:rRNA from 1 species